UACGUAGGGUGCGAGCGUUAAUCGGAAUUACUGGGCGUAAAGGGUGCGCAGGCGGUUCUGCAAGUCAGGCGUGAAAUCCCCGGGCUUAACCUGGGAAUGGCGCUUGAAACUACGGGACUGGAGUAUGGCAGAGGGAGGUGGAAUUCCACGUGUAGCGGUGAAAUGCGUAGAGAUGUGGAGGAACACCGAUGGCGAAGGCAGCCUCCUGGGCCAAUACUGACGCUCAUGCACGAAAGCGUGGGGAGCAAACAGG
rnacentral:rRNA from 2 species